UAUUGUAAAUUGUAACUUUAAAUUUAAUUAAAAUAAGGAAAAGUAGUUUUUUAGUAAAAAAUGAAGACAAUAGGUACACAAAUAGAAAAGAAAAUUGCUUUUUGGUAACAGGAAUAUAAAAUGAGAAAAAUAGUUAAGUUCACAACAUAAUAUAAAAAAGGUUUUAUUUUCUUCUCUUCAAUAAGUCUAAAUUCAAUUGUACCAUAGAAAAUGAUAAUUCCUAUAGUAGUAAGACAUUUUUAUAUUAAUGAUUAGGCUUGCAAAUAUUGAUAAAUUAUUUUUAAAGUAUUUUUGUUUACUUCAUUAUUAUUAAUUAUAUUAUAUAAUAUUAUAAUACCAGUUAUCUAUUCUGUAAUAUGAUAAUUAUUAAUUUUUAGAGUUUGUUUUAGAUUAAGUAUAUAACAUUUCGAUUUCUAGAAGGUAGGGUGUAGGUACACAAUGACCAUUAAAUAUAUGUGAUAUAUAAUCUUGCACCAUCAAGUGAUUUUUUUUGUGUUUCUUUUGUUUGUCUUUUAUGAUUUCCUACUUAAUCGGUUGAUCUGAUCAAGUCAGGCUCUAGCUUGUCCCUGCCCUGUCCAAUCAACAGCUGUAUCUAUUAAAGAUGUAGAGGCCAGACUGGUAACCUCCACACACAUGCAGUUGCUAGGUAACACCUUCGGGAGCCUACUUGCUUAUUCCUGACUACCAACAGCUAGGUAUCCAACCCACCUGUUGUACUAUUAUUAUUUCUGAUUGUGACUUCUAUAAAGAAUUUUUUAAAUGGUAGCUUUCCAUUACAUUUUAUACCUACAGCCAGAUGAUUUUUGUUCAGGGUUUCUUCCCCUACGAUGCUUGCCAGUCAAGGGUGGAGAGUUUGCCUUACCCUGAUUUGUAUGCUGAUCACAGCAUCUGUAUUGACUUAUAUCAUAGCUAAUGGCAAUAUAAGGUAGUCCAAAAAGUUAUUCUAGAAUUAUUUGCCUGAAACAUUUCUCCAAUUUGGUGAUGGCUGUUGCCCCAUUAAUGCAAGACAAACUGUCCGGGUAAUGUAUUAUACUAAUAAUACAAACAUUUUUUUCCUUUCAAUCUUUUGCACAAAUUAAAUAGCGCGGAAUGUAUAAAUGCCCAAACAGAUUUCCAAACCACUUGACCACUUGAUCCCCAAUCAAAAUCCACAGUUACAGACAUUUGGAGAUAGUGCCCUUUGUGUUGCUGUUGCUGAAUACUAUGUGUAUUAGUUAAUAUAUAUUUAAAACUAGGGAUUAUAUAAAUGCACAAGUAUAUUACCUCAAUAAAAUUGUCCUUGUGUCUGUUAAAAUAUAUAGGUACUGAAUAGUUGUAGAGCCAUUUUUUUAUUGACUCUGACUUUCUCAAAAUUGGAAUGAAAUCUCUAUGCCAACCAUUGAUCUCAAAGGAUGCCAUAUUGCAAUCUUAUCAUAAAACCUUUCAUUUUCAGUCUCCUGGUAAAAAUAUUAUUAACAACAUGUACCACAUCUCAUUGUCCAAGAUAAAUGUUAUUACAGUGGCACACUUAAACAAUAAAUUCCCUAAAAGA